AUAACUAUUUUUCUAUUUAUUUGAAGGAACUGGUACACUUUGGAAAUUCAGCGGCACAAAGUACCCUGCCAUAACUUGAGAGGCAUUAUUCAGUAAAAAAGAAAGGAAAUAAGAAGGAAAAAAAAAAUCCUGUUUCAAACACUGCAUUACAUAAUUUUACCUGCCCAAACAGACCAUUUACAAAUAUUAGGUCAACAAACUGCUAACAUCCAUAAAAAGGUAGCUUUCUUACCAAAAUGCAAGAAUUUAAAAGAUUGGUAUCUAAACAAAAGA